GGGGGUUUUAUUGUCACACGCUGUUCCUUCCAAUACUGUAUUGAUAUGUUCCUAUAAUCUGAUCUGAUUCCUUAUAAUAAUGAAAAGGAACUACAUUCAUUGACAAAGCGAUACAUUAAAAGAUUCUCCCAAUUCAGGGACGAAGGAUUGCCUGCGUCUGAUUGGCCGGUACUGGGCCUCGUAUUAGAAACUAAGACUGCCUGAGAAGCUGUGAUGUGAAUGAAGCUGCUUGGCUAUAGGAAGACGGUUAUCGGCACUGCUGGUGGCUAAAUAUUUCUGGAAAGAUCCAAAUGCGUUCUGUGGGUGUGUGGUGAAA